UGGCCUGGGUCGCAGCUGUCAACAGAACAAACGUCACUUUUGCCAGCGUUUCCAAAUAUAUCGUUUGUUCCAGGCAUUUCAUUAAAGUGUGGACAGGCAAACCAUCAUAUGAGAUGUUCGACCAAGACCCUAACUAGGCUCCGUCUCUUCACCUUGGACACGGAGAACCUCAAAGUGCGUAUCUGGUGUGAUGUCAAAUGUUUGUGCUGAGCAAUGUUUAAUCAAGAGGAGAUGCUGCAGACUAAACUCAUUUAAAUAUAGUCAUUAGCUUGAAAAUAAUGUUCAAAUUGUAUUCAGUUCCAAGCUGUCUAUUCUAAAUUAGGAAAUGUUGAAGUUGCUUUAUUAUUUCACUGAAUCACCUUCCCCCUGAGAUUUAUGCGGGAAAUACUAAAUAGUAACGUCAAACAGUGUUUCUUAAAAUCCAUUUCAUUUC
rnacentral:lncRNA from 1 species